rnacentral:rRNA from 1 species
AUUGAACGCUGGCGGCAGGCCUAACACAUGCAAGUCGAGCGGUAGAGAGGUGCUUGCAUCUCUUGAGAGCGGUGGACGGGUGAGUAAUGCCUAGGAAUCUGCCUGGUGGUGGGGGAUAACGUUCGGAAACGGACGCUAAUACCGCAUACGUCCUACGGGAGAAAGCGGGGGAUCUUCGGACCUCGCGCCAUUAGAUGAGCCUAGGUCGGAUUAGCUAGUUGGUGAGGUAAUGGCUCACCAAGGCGACGAUCCGUAACUGGUCUGAGAGGAUGAUCAGUCACACUGGAACUGAGACACGGUCCAGACUCCUACGGGAGGCAGCAGUGGGGAAUUUUUGGACAAUGGACGCAAGUCUGAUCCAGCCAUUCCGCGUGCAGGAUGAAGGCCCUCGGGUUGUAAAGCACUUUCAGCGAGGAGG